GUAACCUGCAUUAUUGUUCUUGUUCAUAUUUAUGGACCAUUCAGUUUCAUAUACAUGCUACAGCAAGCAAGCUAGCUACAACAUUAUAUGUAAUGUACAGGACCGCUCACCUGCGAGACUUCUUUUACAGACAAAACAGGAUAGGUGGUUUAUGACGGUUUGAUUUGGUCACUUUAGAUCUAAUGACUCUCAAUCAUUAACAUUGAAAACAAAUAAUGACACGUCCCACCCCGAAUUUCACCCUGAAACCCAGAGUAAGUCGUGCGGGGACCACCUCCAAGGAAAAUUUACUGAAAAGAUUAAGAAAAUCUCCCUUGCAGAUGGACAACCCUAACUCGAAAAUUUCAAAUUACACUCUUAAUUUAUCACUUCUGAACAUCGCAUAAAAUACAAACAUUCUAAAGUAUUCAGAGCUACUAAACACAAGCGGAAGCAAGAAAACACAAGUAGGUUGAACAGGUAACCUACUGAUGAAAACUGGCCGAAAAGCGGGUGACUAUGCCUCGUCUCCUACUAGAUCCAACCCGAACUCUGCAGACUGGGCAAUUUAAAACGAAGGGCCCAGGGGAAAACAUUUAAUAACGUUAGAGUGAGUGGACAAAAAUAAAAUAAUAAAUAAAAUAUUUAUGUUUCCCCAAAUUAAUUUCUAACGAAAAAUCGAAUGCAUGCUGCAAGCGAUAAAACCUUUAUCCCAUAAAAUAUCGAGC
rnacentral:lncRNA from 1 species